AGUGAACGCUGGCGGUAGGCCUAACACAUGCAAGUCGAACGGCAGCACAGUAAGAGCUUGCUCUUACGGGUGGCGAGUGGCGGACGGGUGAGGAAUACAUCGGAAUCUACUUUUUCGUGGGGGAUAACGUAGGGAAACUUACGCUAAUACCGCAUACGACCUACGUGUGAAAGCAGGGGAUCUUCGGACCUUGCGCGAUUGAAUGAGCCGAUGUCGGAUUAGCUAGUUGGCGGGGUAAAGGCCCACCAAGGCGACGAUCCGUAGCUGGUCUGAGAGGAUGAUCAGCCACACUGGAACUGAGACACGGUCCAGACUCCUACGGGAGGCAGCAGUGGGGAAUAUUGGACAAUGGGCGCAAGCCUGAUCCAGCCAUACCGCGUGGGUGAAGAAGGCCUUAGGGUUGUAAAGCCCUUUUGUUGGGAAAGAAAAGCAGCAGGUUAAUACCCCGCUGUUCUGACGGUACCCAAAGAAUAAGCACCGGCUAACUUCGUG
rnacentral:rRNA from 1 species